rnacentral:rRNA from 1 species
CGGGGGGAGCAAGCGUUGUUCGGAUUUACUGGGCGUAAAGGGCGCGUAGGCGGCCACCGCAAGUCGACUGUGAAAUCUCCGGGCUUAACUCGGAAAGGUCAGCCGAUACUGCGGGGCUAGAGUGCAGAAGGGGCAACUGGAAUUCUCGGUGUAGCGGUGAAAUGCGUAGAUAUCGAGAGGAACACCUGCGGCGAAGGCGGGUUGCUGGGCUGACACUGACGCUGAGGCGCGAAAGCUAGGGGGAGCGAACGGGAUUAGAUACCCCGGUAGUCCUAGCCUUAAACGAUGAAUGCUUGGUGUCUGGGGUUUUAUAGUCCCCGGGUGCCGUCGCUAACGCUUUAAGCAUUCCGCCUGGGGAGUACGGUCGCAAGACUG